rnacentral:rRNA from 1 species
UACGUAGGGGGCUAGCGUUGUCCGGAAUCAUUGGGCGUAAAGAGCGCGUAGGCGGCCCGGUAAGUCCGCUGUAAAAGUCAAAGGCUCAACCUUUGAAAGUCAGUGGAUACUGCCGGGCUAGAGUCCGGAAGAGGCGAGUGGAACUCCUGGUGUAGCGGUGGAAUGCGCAGAUAUCAGGAAGAACACCAACGGCGAAGGCAGCUCGCUGGGACGUUACUGACGCUGAGGCGCGAAAGCGUGGGGAGCGAAUGGG